rnacentral:misc_RNA from 1 species
AAGUCGUAACAAGGUUUCCGUAGGUGAACCUGCGGAAGGAUCAUUACUAGAGCAAAGGAUAGACACUACCCUACUUCGGUAGGGUUUAGAGUCGUCGGGCCUCUCGGAGAAGCUCGGUCCUGAACUCCACCCUUGAAUAAAUUACCUUUGUUGCUUUGGCGGGCCGCCUCGUGCCAGCGGCUUCGGCUGUUGAGUGCCCGCCAGAGGAUCAUAACUCUUGUUUUUAGUGAUGUCUGAGUACUAUAUAAUAGUUAAAACUUUCAACAACGGAUCUCUUGGUUCUG